rnacentral:rRNA from 1 species
GAUGAACGCUGGUGGCGUGCUUAACACAUGCAAGUCGAACGAAGCACUUUAUUUGAUUUCCUUCGGGACUGAUUAUUUUGUGACUGAGUGGCGGACGGGUGAGUAACGCGUGGGUAACCUGCCUUGUACAGGGGGAUAACAGUUGGAAACGGCUGCUAAUACCGCAUAAGCGCACAGCAUCGCAUGAUGCAGUGUGAAAAACUCCGGUGGUAUAAGAUGGACCCGCGUUGGAUUAGCUAGUUGGUGAGGUAACGGCCCACCAAGGCGACGAUCCAUAGCCGAGCUGGGAGGGUGACCCGGCACAAUGGGACUGAGACACGGCCCAAACUCCUACGGGAGGCAGGAGUGGGGAAUAUUGCACAAUGGGCGAAAGCCUGAUGCAGCGACGCCGCGUGAGCGAAGAAGUAUUUCGGGAUGUAAAGCUCUAUCAGCAGGGAAGAUAAUGACGGUACCUGACUAAGAAGCACCGGCUAAAUACGUG